CAGUGCUUAUCCCUUGACCA
rnacentral:misc_RNA from 1 species